rnacentral:misc_RNA from 1 species
GAUGAAGAACGUAGCGAAAUGCGAUACUUGGUGUUAAUUGCAGAAUCCCGUGAACCAUCGAGUCUUUGAACGCAAGUUGCGCCCGAAGCCAUCAGGUUGAGGGCACGUCUGCCUGGGCGUCACAUAUCGUUGCCCAAUGCCUAUUGCAGUGCAAUAGGAAUUUCUAGGGCGAAUGAUGGCUUCCCGUGAGCGUUGUUGCCUCGCGGUUGGUUGAAAAUCGAGUCCUUGGUAGGGUGUGCCAUGGUAGAUGGUGGUCGAGUUAGAACGAUACCGAUCAUGUGCAUGCUCCCCAAAAUAUGGCCUCUAUGACCCACACGCGUCUUUUGACGCUCAUGACGAGACCUCAGGUCAGGCGGGGCUACCCGCUGAAUUUAAGCAUAUCAAUAAGCGGAGGA